UAGAGUUUGAUCAUGGCUCAGAACGAACGUUGGCGGCGUGGAUAAGGCAUGCAAGUCGGACGAUCACGUCGAGCCUCUUGGCUUCGGUCAGAAGGCUUGAUUUGAUAGUGGCAAAAGGGUGAGUAACAAGUGAGUAAUUUACCUUUGAGCUCGGGACAACAUUCCGAAAGGAGUGCUAAUACCGAAUAAGACCGCGACCCUGCAUGGGGUUGAGGUCAAAGGCAGGGACCGCAAGGCCUGCCACUUGAAGAUGAGCUUGCUUUCUAUCAGCUUGUUGGUGAGGUAACGGCUCACCAAGGCUACGACGGAUAGCUGGUCUGAGAGGAUGGUCAGCCACACUGGGACUGAGACACUGCCCAGACUCCUACGGGAGGCUGCAGUCGAGAAUCUUUCGCAAUGGGCGCAAGCCUGACGAUGCGACGCCGCGUGAGCGAUGAAGGUCUUCGGAUCGUAAAGCUCUGUCAGGUGGGACGAACGUCCUGAAGGCGAAUAGCCUGAUGGGCUGACUGUACCACUAGAGGAAGCCACGGCUAACUCCGUGCCAGCAGCCGCGGUAAUACGGAGGUGGCUAACGUUGUUCGGAUUCAUUGGGUGUAAAGGGUAUGUAGGUGGCCUUGCAAGUCGGAUGUGAAAUCCUUUGGCUCAACCAAAGAGCUGCAUUCGAAACUGCUUGGCUUGAGUUUCGGAGAGGAGAGUGGAAUUCCCAGUGUAAGAGUGAAAUCUGUAGAUAUUGGGAGGAACACCAGUGGCGAAAGCGACUCUCUGGCCGGAAACUGACACUGAAAUACGAAAGCUAGGGGAGCAAACAGGAUUAGAU
rnacentral:rRNA from 1 species